UCAAGAGAUAAAAGCUGAUCCACAUCCCCGUGGCCCCGUGCUCCGUGCAGAGGAACGGUGGCCCUGAACCAUCGCCUGGAUCUUGCCAGUGGGCUGCUGGCACUGAAGUGUGUCAUAGUGCA
rnacentral:snoRNA from 1 species